rnacentral:rRNA from 1 species
GAUGAACGCUGGCGGCGUGCCUAAUACAUGCAAGUCGAGCGAACGGACGAGAAGCUUGCUUCUCUGAUGUUAGCGGCGGACGGGUGAGUAACACGUGGAUAACCUACCUAUAAGACUGGGAUAACUUCGGGAAACCGGAGCUAAUACCGGAUAAUAUUUUGAACCGCAUGGUUCAAAAGUGAAAGACGGUCUUGCUGUCACUUAUAGAUGGAUCCGCGCUGCAUUAGCUAGUUGGUAAGGUAACGGCUUACCAAGGCAACGAUGCAUAGCCGACCUGAGAGGGUGAUCGGCCACACUGGAACUGAGACACGGUCCAGACUCCUACGGGAGGCAGCAGUAGGGAAUCUUCCGCAAUGGGCGAAAGCCUGACGGAGCAACGCCGCGUGAGUGAUGAAGGUCUUCGGAUCGUAAAACUCUGUUAUUAGGGAAGAACAUAUGUGUAAGUAACUGUGCACAUCUUGACGGUACCUAAUCAGAAAGCCACGGCUAACUACGUGCCAGCAGCCGCGGUAAUACGUAGGUGGCAAGCGUUAUCCGGAAUUUAUGGGCGUAAAGCGCGCGUAGGCGGUUUUUUAAGUCUGAUGUGAAAGCCCGCGGCUCACCCGUGGAGGGUCAUUGGAAACUGGAAAACUUGAGUGCAGAAGAGGAAAGUGGAAUUCCAUGUGUAGCGGUGAAAUGCGCAGAGAUAUGGAGGAACACCAGUGGCGAAGGCGACUUUCUGGUCUGUAACUGACGCUGAUGUGCGAAGGCGUGGGGAUCAAACAGGAUUAGAUACCCUGGCAGUCCACGCCGUAAACGAUGAGUGCUAAGUGUUAGGGGGUUUCCGCCCCUUAGUGCUGCAGCUAACGCAUUAAGCACUCCGCCUGGGGAGUACGACCGCAAGGUUGAAACUCAAAGGAAUUGACGGGGACCCGCACAAGCGGUGGAGCAUGUGGUUUAAUUCGAAGCAACGCGAAGAACCUUACCAAAUCUUGACAUCCUUUGACAACUCUAGAGAUAGAGCUUUCCCCUUCGGGGGACAAAGUGACAGGUGGUGCAUGGUUGUCGUCAGCUCGUGUCGUGAGAUGUUGGGUUAAGUCCCGCAACGAGCGCAACCCUUAAGCUUAGUUGCCAUCAUUAAGUUGGGCACUCUAAGUUGACUGCCGGUGACAAACCGGAGGAAGGUGGGGAUGACGUCAAAUCAUCAUGCCCCUUAUGAUUUGGGCUACACACGUGCUACAAUGGACAAUACAAAGGGCAGCGAAACCGUGAGGUCAAGCAAAUCCCAUAAAGUUGUUCUCAGUUCGGAUUGUAGUCUGCAACUCGACUACAUGAAGCUGGAAUCGCUAGUAAUCGUAGAUCAGCAUGCUACGGUGAAUACGUUCCCGGGUCU